UACGAAGGGGGCUAGCGUUGCUCGGAAUCACUGGGCGUAAAGCGCGUGUAGGCGGUCCGGUAAGUCCGCUGUGAAAGUCGGGGGCUCAACCCUCGGAUGCCGGUGGAUACUGUCGGGCUUGAGUACGGAAGAGGCGAGUGGAAUUCCUGGUGUAGCGGUGAAAUGCGCAGAUAUCAGGAGGAACACCAAUGGCGAAGGCAGCUCGCUGGGACGUGACUGACGCUGAGACGCGAAAGCGUGGGGAGCAAACAGG
rnacentral:rRNA from 1 species